rnacentral:rRNA from 1 species
GGACGAACGCUGGCGGCAGGCCUAACACAUGCAAGUCGAACGGAUCCUUCGGGAUUAGUGGCGGACGGGUGAGUAACGCGUGGGAACAUACCCAAAGGUACGGAAUAGCCUCGGGAAACUGGGAGUAAUACCGUAUGUGGUCGAGAGACGAAAGAUUUAUCGCCUUUGGAUUGGCCCGCGUUGGAUUAGGUAGUUGGUGGGGUAAAGGCCUACCAAGGCGACGAUCCUUAGCUGGUCUGAGAGGAUGAUCAGCCACACUGGGACUGAGACACGGCCCAGACUCCUACGGGAGGCAGCAGUGGGGAAUAUUGGACAAUGGGCGAAAGCCUGAUCCAGCAAUGCCGCGUGAGUGAUGAAGGCCUUCGGGUUGUAAAGCUCUUUUACCAGGGAUGAUAAUGACAGUACCUGGAGAAUAAGCUCCGGCUAACUCCGUG